AUUGAACGCUGGCGGCAGGCCUAACACAUGCACGUCGAACGAGUGGCGGACGGGUGAGUACUGUCUGGGAAACUGCCUGAUGGAGGGGGCUCACUACUGGAAACGGUAGCUAAUACCGCAUACCAUCGGAUGUGCCCAGAUGGGAUUAGCUAGUAGGUGGUGUAACGGCUCACCUAGGCGACGAUCCCUAGCUGGUCUGAGCGGAUGACCAGCCACACUGGAAAUUAGACACGGGCCAGACUCGUACGUGAGGCAGCAGUGGGGAAUAAUGCACAAUGGGGGGAAGCCUGAUGCAGCCAUGCCGCGUGGAUGAAGAAGGCCUUCGGGUUGUAAAGGACUUUUAGCGGGGAGGCGUUACCCGCAGAAGAAGCACCGGCUAACUCCGUGCCAGCAGGCGCGGUAAUAC
rnacentral:rRNA from 1 species